rnacentral:misc_RNA from 1 species
CGUAUUAGAUCAGUUAUGUAUUCCAUAAAGCCUGAAUCACAUGGCAGUAUGAGAGGACUGUUGCUUGUCAAUCCAAACUCUUCUUCUGCAAGCUCGAAUAAUUCUUUUACAACAUCAUUGUUAAGAUAUUCCAAAGGAAGCACAAAGCGUUUUUGAUCAAUCGAGUACACCACAAAGUGACCAUUCUCAACUGGGUAUGAUGUGCUACAACUUUCUGCAUCCACUAUCUCACAGGUGGUUCUUGGCAUUGUGAUUCUUUUCCGCCUAAGGGAAGCCAGCUUCUGCCAUUUCCUUGCCAGUUUGAUAAGCUUUUUGGCACUGAUCAUCU